rnacentral:rRNA from 1 species
AAACUCAAAGGAAUUGACGGGGGCCCGCACAAGCGGCGGAGCAUGUGGAUUAAUUCGAUGCAACGCGAAGAACCUUACCUAGGCUUGACAUAUACAGGACGACGGCAGAGAUGUCGUUUCCCUUGUGGCUUGUAUACAGGUGGUGCAUGGUUGUCGUCAGCUCGUGUCGUGAGAUGUUGGGUUAAGUCCCGCAACGAGCGCAACCCCUGUCUCAUGUUGCCAGCACGUUAUGGUGGGGACUCGUGAGAGACUGCCGGGGUCAACUCGGAGGAAG